UCGUAACAAGGUCUCCGUAGGUGAACCUGCGGAGGGAUCAUUA
rnacentral:ncRNA from 50 species